rnacentral:rRNA from 1 species
UACAGAGGUGGCAAGCGUUGUUCGGAAUUACUGGGCGUAAAGGGCUGGUAGGCGGCCAACUAAGUCGGAUGUGAAAUCCCCAGGCUUAACCUGGGAACUGCAUCCGAUACUGGUCGGCUUGAAUCCGGGAGAGGGAUGCAGAAUUCCAGGUGUAGCGGUGAAAUGCGUAGAUAUCUGGAGGAAUACCGGUGGCGAAGGCGGCAUCCUGGACCGGCAUUGACGCUGAACAGCGAAAGCUAGGGGAGCAAACGGG